UUCCAUUGUUUGUCACAUGGCGCUUGUUUCAGCUCAAUGCUCGGACACUCAUUGGACUAGAAGUACCUACUCUUUGGCCAUGUUGGGUUGUAUCAUGAGCCCAACACACAUCCUAGUUUAGGGUUUGGAGAUUCUCGUGGGAGUAUAUUUUCACGACGAAUACGUGAUCUGUCUUAAUUGCUCUGCUUUGCUAGUUGGCUUUGCAGAGAUAGUGUGGCUCUGCCGAUGAGUUUCACAUGAGCUAAGAGUGCAGAGAGUGCAGCUGAUUGUCCCGCAUCUAUGCCAGGGACUCAAGCUGCAGUCAAUUUCAAAGUGAAGCAGCAUAUUUUGAAAGCACAUUUCUGAACAACAUUUCAAUUGGAGACUGCACGUAGUUGUUGCAGCGGUUGGGUUGCUAUUUGCCAUUAACUUCCAACAUCUUGUACUAUUUUGUGCUUGUCCAGAUUUUUUGUGGAGAGUGUUGUGUACAGUAACUAGAGUCUACGAACAGGAAUUUGAAGGUUUGUGCUCGUGUUUGAUCGCCAGGCUACGUUAUCUGUGCGCUGCGGCAUAGUAAGUUUUGCAGCAGCCUGAGCUAGGUUUCAGAGCAUAAUAAGUGUACCGUUUGGAAUUUAGGGUUUUAACGAAGGUUCUAAUUCAAUCUACUUGAAAAAGCACCUCGUCUAUUCACCAUUUGGUGUAUCUCACGAUUAUGGUCUUCUUCGUGUAUGGUUUCUUCACUCAGUAGUUGAGAUAAGUUAUCCAGAUGUCGAAUGUGACCGUAUUCAAGAUCUGGGUGAAUAAGAACCGAAGCGGAAGAGCAAGCAAGGUAGGGCAUCUAAGAAAAGUUCUUGAUCUAAUGGUCAACGGGCUAAAGUGGAAAUGAAUUGCAGAGAUGAUGAGGGUGAAGAUCAGAAUGAUCACCAUGGUCUUCAAAGGAAUUCCCACAGCUAUUGCAUUCAAUCAUUAGGAAUUCUUCUUCUAAGCACUUCCAGUUGUUGCGUGAGGGAUGUGGGACCUGGAGCAUUGCAUGUACUGACCAACACAAUUUAUGAUUUUAUGAACAACUUGGAUUGGCGUUACUUAGCACGUCUGGAUCCUUUUCCCACAUUGGUUACGCCACCGAUACGACUUAAGAUGAGUAACGUAACGGAAGCAGAGCCGAUGUGUAAGAUUUCUUUAGAAUUUGCAAUUUUGCAUUACGAUAUUUGUUCUCCUCAGGUACUCCUGUCACAUUAAAUUCUUACUUCGUUCUGUUCACUAUGUCUAUAUUGUUCAGCAUGUGAUUGACUUCUACUCGGACUACCUCUUCCAGAACUGGCUGUGUGCAUGUCUCAAGAUUAAGCCUGGGUUGUUAACAUUGAGAUGCGUGAGAAUCUGUCUUCCGAUGAAUUUAUAAGGUAUUUUGAGCAGCGGAACAAGGUUGUUCUCCUUCGUGAUGUAAUGGAAUCCUUGCCAGCAUUGACAGAGUGGGACUACAUGUACCUUUUAAAGCACUCUGGAGAUAUCGAUUUUGCUGCUGGUUCUAUCCACCUCAAAUUUAGUUAUUUCUGUAAGUAAGCAGAUGCUGUGGAAGAGGAGCGUCCUCUGUACUUGUUAUGGAGGGUAUAACUCGCAACAUUACUGAGCAGUGGAGAGUCUAACAUCUCUCUUCAUUCAUGACAUAAAAGGUAAGGUGGGGGUCAUAUUUGAAUUUGAACAGUGUCAAUGCGCUAUGGCACCUAACCAAUCCACGACAGAAGGGUUUAUGAACUUCCGUAGCGAGACCAAGCAGUGGGUGGAAAGAUCUGUGAAGUGUACAUGCCGAAAAAGGAGAAUUCGUGUCUGCGCUACGUGGAUGGUAGCACAUUCUGAUUAAUCUGGAGGGAUCCGAUGCUCUCACCCAAAAUUUUCCAAGCAGAAAUAAGGUGUUAUCAGGAGCAACAUGAGUACUGUGCUGGAGUUUCUGAGCAGACCAAAUUCCCAGCACUUGUUAUCUGGAGUAAAAGAUCGAAUCGACUUGCACGAAAAAUUCUGACCCAGUUUUGAUUCUCUAAACCCCAGGUCAAAAUGGGUUAUGAAGAAGAUAACAGAAGAGCGGGAAGACGCCCUCUAAAAGGCCAAUAUUUGAAUAUGAGUCAAUGCUGCUGAUUCAAUAACUGGAGGAUUCAAAUUUGCCUUCUGAGUCCACCAUUUCGUUCUGUACUCUGUUCGAAUUUUCUUUAGCAUUUUUCUAGUGAAGAAUGGCACAUGUGCUGCACUAGCAGGUCACUCAAUCCAUUGUACGGCAGGAUCAUCGUUUAGAAUUGCUGCGCAGACCAAUGCCCAAUUUGAGUCUACGAUAUUUGAAGCUGAUAACAAUCUUAGGCAUCAAUGGACAUAGUGAGAUAACGAUACUCACAUCGCAGUCGCUCUAGAUCAGAAAAUCAACUGACUGACGUGGUUGUCCUAUUCUGUCCGCGCUGCUCAUUAUUAACGGUCAAUUUCCUUAUACUUUUAUAAUAUCUGGUUUCCUGUGUCUUGUGACACUCCUCAUUAAUACGCCUCAAUGUUAAUUUAGGUUGGAUUCCUUACUUUGAUUUUCCUUCAAAUGUUAUAUCUAUGAUAUGGACCCACCGUGUUCUAUAAUGCUGACGAUGAGCCAUCAGAUAGAAUCUUCGAGUAAACUAACGCGUGAGCGGUUCUAGAGUUGGGUGACUAAAGAUUCUUAAGUUUUGUAUUCUGCCAAGGAUUUCGCCGAGCUCCUAGUUUCACAUGGACUCGACACAAUGAUGAAGGGCAAUGCUUUAAAUGCACACGGAGAGGCACCAAUACUCUUGAGGCUUGCUGCGUACGUCGGUGAUGAAUGAAGUAUUAAACUGUGAAUUUACUGUUUCGGCAGCAAGAUCGAGAUGACAUAGUCCAUUGGAAAGCUGCCAAAAGCGCUUUAGGAAAAGACCAAAGGAUCAAUAAUUUACAAUUUCCAAUCCUUUUGAAGGUUGACGAUAGUGUCAAGCGAGAAGGUGCCAUCAACUCAAACAAAUCAGGAAAUUAAAAAAUCUAAGAAGAUUCGUGCUGUGGAGUCCUUACUCUCUACCACAUCCGCUGUAACAUUUCAAUACUUUACUCCAGGCUCGUCUUAAAAUCAGGUACCAACGUCACAACCUUCUAUCGCUACAUCAGCAGCAGCGUAAGAGAUGUGUUCUGUGGGGUUGGAAGAAGACAUGGCAGGGAGAAGAGCAGUAUGUGCCCCACAACCGAGAGAAAGAGAAACCUUUGCAUCAAGAUUUGUGCACGAACGUGUGUGUGGUCGAAACAUGGACAGGGCAAAAAAGAGCAAAUGAGUUGUGAACUUGGAUAGCCUAGCUCAUCUCGAGGUCGGUGAGCGAGAUGUGCGUAUGAGCUGCAUUGAUAAACUUUGUUGGUUCAUGGCGCAACAUGCUGCGUUUCAGCCGCUUUGCCACAAGUUUCAUGGAAAAGUUUCUGCAUGGAGAUAAAGCUAAAGCAGACGUUUGAUCAGUUCCUGGAGCAGUAGCAUAAGACUUUUUAUGGAGAGGAUACAUCGAAACAUUAUUGAGCAGUGCAGAAUGUAACAUCUCCCUUCAUUCAUGGCUUGGAAGGUGAGGUG